rnacentral:lncRNA from 1 species
GGGUGCCUGUUGGAAUUGUUAUGUCUUAUACUGCUUUCGUUUGAGGCUCUGUAAUUGAUUUUGAUGAGCCUAAUAUGUUUUCUUGCCAUUGUCAUACUGAUUGGUUGAUUUAAAUGAGUAUGGGACUGAACUGGCUCUGUUUGAUUAAAUGGGCAGUGAAAUUUUGAUAUAUUGAAGUUGUCUUGGAUUACUGGAAAUCCUGUUGCUCUAUUAUUUUGAUGAGGGACUUGGGCUGUGUAGAACUAGGUCUGUGAGUGGAAGUGAGGCACUGGUUUAAGGGAAGGGAGGUCUAGAAAACAGUACAAUGAUCAUAAUACCUUAAGAGAGUCAAACUUAGAGUGUUUAGGAUGCCUUAUUUGUUGGUAGGAUAGAGGGAACCUAAAAACCAGAGCUGGCACGUCACUGAUCAUAGAGCAGCCCUGGUCUGGUCCAGUACGUUGUGACUAGUCAUAUGUGUUGGUGACGAAGGUGAGUCCGCUGCGGUGGACAUCUGUUCCCACCCCGUUGACCAAUUGGGGUAUGAGAAGGUGGGAGAGAGUAGAACCCUUAGGCAAAGGAUCAGUGGCUUAAAUUGAUUUUAUUUAGUUUGGGAGGAGGGAACUAGCCUAGUGAAUUUGUGUGUCUGGGGUAUCGGGGGUGUUUGGGCUGUUUAGUUAACUUAGAUUAGUGAAAUGGAACCUGUGUGAGGCAUAAAAUUGAGCUAGAACACAUUAAAAAUGGAAGAAUUGAAGUAGGACUCCUAAGUCUUAGGAAUGAAUGUUUUAGAGUUAAAUUCACACCUAGGUCAGAUUAGAAUCACUAUAGGAAUAGUUUAAAUUGGUUAAACAUGUUUCAUGUCAAUAUUAGUGUUGUAUAAUUCAAAUUGAACAAGUGGAUAUGUCUAAGAGGUACCAAAACAUGUUUCAUGUCGAUUAUUGUUGUUACAAAAUCAUCCAGGACAGUUUUAGGUGGUUUUCGGGGUUCCGGGUAUCAUUUUUGGACGUUCCUUAGGUCGUUCUGGGGGUUUUUGACCCUUCCGGAACUAUUGGCGAUGGUUUAAAAGUCAUUUUCCAGGUCUAAGUAUGAGUUCACUGGGUUUUGUGUUGUUUAGUGGUUCUUCUGGAUCUGUUAUUGUUUGGAAAUGAAUGUGGAAUGAUUACAAUGUAAAUUAUGACUGAGGNGAUGUUGUUAACUUGAAAAUAUGUGAAUUGNGAAGGAAUAAAACAUGAUUUCUAGUGUGUUGAUGGUGGUAAAUGUAGAAUCUCUCGGUGAGAUCCUUAGUGUUUUAAAAUGAAAGUAGGGGCUUAGCCUUGGGAGUCAUUCUGACGCUUUAAUGGUCAAUCAAACUCACUUAGAGAGGUUGAACCAUGUGGUGAGAAGUAGUAGGAGGUCUUUAGUCUUGGGGGCUCCCAGUAUGCCUCAAGGCGCGGAACGAACUAAACUCGUGACUGUGGCAGGGUGGGGAACCCAAGUUUCAUAAGUCACCACGGGUGCAAGACUCGUCAUAGCCCGACUAUCAUUUUAAAGUCCGGACGAGUCAAGUCUAGAAAUUCACAUGCUUAGGUUGUAUUAUUAAACUGUUUGUUAUGAAUUAUUAUUGUAUGAUACAUGCUUAAUCUCAGUUGUAUGAUUUUAUAUAAUUAGC